GACACUAUAGAAUACUCAAGCUAUGCAUCCCAACGCGUUGGGAGCUCUCCCAUAUGGUCGACCUGCAGGCGGGCCGCGAAUUCACUAGUGAUUAGAGUUUGAUCCUGGCUCAGAACGAACGCUGGCGGCAGGCCUAACACAUGCAAGUCGAGCGCACCUUCGGGUGAGCGGCGGACGGGUUAGUAACGCGUGGGAACAUACCCUUCUCUAAGGAAUAGCCACUGGAAACGGUGAGUAAUACCUUAUACGCCCUUCGGGGGAAAGAUUUAUUGGAGAAGGAUUGGCCCGCGUUAGAUUAGAUAGUUGGUGGGGUAAUGGCCUACCAAGUCUACGAUCUAUAGCUGGUUUUAGAGGAUGAUCAGCAACACUGGGACUGAGACACGGCCCAGACUCCUACGGGAGGCAGCAGUGGGGAAUCUUAGACAAUGGGCGCAAGCCUGAUCUAGCCAUGCCGCGUGAGUGAUGAAGGCCUUAGGGUCGUAAAGCUCUUUCGCCAGGGAUGAUAAUGACAGUACCUGGUAAAGAAACCCCGGCUAACUCCGUGCCAGCAGCCGCGGUAAUACGGAGGGGGUUAGCGUUGUUCGGAAUUACUGGGCGUAAAGCGCACGUAGGCGGACUAUUAAGUGAGGGGUGAAAUCCCAGGGCUCAACCCUGGAACUGCCUCUCAUACUGGUAGUCUUGAGUUCGAGAGAGGUGAGUGGAAUUCCGAGUGUAGAGGUGAAAUUCGUAGAUAUUCGGAGGAACACCAGUGGCGAAGGCGGCUCACUGGCUCGAUACUGACGCUGAGGUGCGAAAGUGUGGGGAGCAAACAGGAUUAGAUACCCUGGUAGUCCACACCGUAAACGAUGAAUGCCAGUCGUCGGAUAGCAUGCUAUUCGGUGACACACCUAACGGAUUAAG
rnacentral:rRNA from 1 species